rnacentral:lncRNA from 1 species
CAGUUUUGAACAUUUUACAUUUAAGAUGCCUGUUGAACAUCCAUCUGGAAAUGGCAAGCUAGCAGUUGGCUCUAUAGGCCUGGAAUUCCAACAGAAAGAGGUCUGGACUAAAGCAGAAUGGUAUCAGAAUGUGGAAUGCUUGAAUGUGGAUUCCGGAAGGGUUGCCAGUUAAUGGUAGUGACCAGGUAUAGGUUAAAAUGAGGAGAGUGAAUCAAGUGUGGAGGACGACAAGAUCACUGGAGGGAAAGCCAAAGAAAUGAGUAGUUUUGGAAGGACCCUCUCUAUGGACUUUGAAAUGACCAAGCACUCGAUAAAGGUGGUGUUGAAGACACUGACAGUGAGCUGGGGAAUGGGAGUGUGAGCGACCUGAUAACCCACAGAUAACUGCCACAGAUCACCUCCAAUGAGAAGCACUUGGAGAGCCUCAAGAAUGCAGGCAGCCUCCUGCGGGCUCUGGAGCGGCUGGCCCCUGGGAGUGGUUCAUUUGCCGACAGUGCGGUGGCUCCCUUGGCCCUGGAAAUCCUCCAAGCCGUUGGGCACUAGGCAAGAAGGUGCUUAGCACAAGCCCGCCCUGUGGCCCCAGCCCUCGGAUGCAUAAGCAAGGUCAGCUCCCAGACACCUUUGCCACAUCCCCUCACAGCUGUCUUUGGACCUAAUAAAGUCAGCUUAACCCAGAACCUGGUGGCCCAAGUGCUCACUAACCCCAGGGCCUAGAAAACUGACUCAGAAUGGACUUCCUUGGUUCCUGUGGAAUGCAUCUGGGAAGCCCAGGUUUGUUAGCUGUUCUCAGAAAUGUUCUUUCCCUCUCUGUGUGGGCCAGGUGGGCUAAGGUUAGCACUGCCUGUGGUAAUAAAGCAGUGGAUGCAAAGCACAGUCCUCAGCCUGCCAGCAUCUGUGAGCAUCUCUCCUCUCCUCAGGGAAGAGCGGAAGGGCGGGACGAGGCAGGAAUGCUCUCCCAACCGCAGCUCCAGAGCAAGCCUUUGGAAGCUAAUCUCUGAGCCUCUUGUCUUCUCCCCUUUUA